rnacentral:rRNA from 1 species
GACGAGCUCUCCAAACGUUAUUCGGUAUUACUGGGCUUAAAGAGUUCGUAGGCGGUCUUGUAGGUGAGGUGUGAAAGCCCUCGGCUUAACCGAGGAAUUGCGCUUCAAACCGCAGGGCUAGAGGAAGGUAGGGGUAUGCGGAACAGAUGGUGGAGCGGUGAAAUGCGUUGAUAUCAUCUGGAACACCGGUGGCGAAAGCGGCAUACUGGACCUUUUCUGACGCUGAGGAACGAAAGCUAGGGUAGCGAACGGGAUUAGAUACCCCGGUAGUCCUAGCCGUAAACGAUGAGCACUAGUCUGUAGGGACCCUCACAUCCUUUCGGACGUAGCGAAAGUGUUAAGUGCUCCGCCUGGGGAGUAUGGUCGCAAGGCUGAA